GCUGGUGUGGCUCAGUGGCUGAGUGUUGAACUAUGAAUCCGGGUCAGGGUUCAAUUCCCAGUCAGGGCA